rnacentral:rRNA from 1 species
AGAGUUUGAUCCUGGCUCAGGAUGAACGCUAGCUACAGGCUUAACACAUGCAAGUCGAGGGGCAGCAUGGUCUUAGCUUGCUAAGGCUGAUGGCGACCGGCGCACGGGUGAGUAACACGUAUCCAACCUGCCGUCUACUCUUGGCCAGCCUUCUGAAAGGAAGAUUAAUCCAGGAUGGCAUCAUGAGUUCACAUGUCCGCAUGAUUAAAGGUAUUUUCCGGUAGACGAUGGGGAUGCGUUCCAUUAGAUAGUAGGCGGGGUAACGGCCCACCUAGUCAACGAUGGAUAGGGGUUCUGAGAGGAAGGUCCCCCACAUUGGAACUGAGACACGGUCCAAACUCCUACGGGAGGCAGCAGUGAGGAAUAUUGGUCAAUGGGCGAUGGCCUGAACCAGCCAAGUAGCGUGAAGGAUGACUGCCCUAUGGGUUGUAAACUUCUUUUAUAAAGGAAUAAAGUCGGGUAUGCAUACCCGUUUGCAUGUACUUUAUGAAUAAGGAUCGGCUAACUCCGUGCCAGCAGCCGCGGUAAUACGGAGGAUCCGAGCGUUAUCCGGAUUUAUUGGGUUUAAAGGGAGCGUAGAUGGAUGUUUAAGUCAGUUGUGAAAGUUUGCGGCUCAACCGUAAAAUUGCAGUUGAUACUGGAUGUCUUGAGUGCAGUUGAGGCAGGCGGAAUUCGUGGUGUAGCGGUGAAAUGCUUAGAUAUCACGAAGAACUCCGAUUGCGAAGGCAGCCUGCUAAGCUGCAACUGACAUUGAGGCUCGAAAGUGUGGGUAUCAAACAGGAUUAGAUACCCUGGUAGUCCACACGGUAAACGAUGAAUACUCGCUGUUUGCGAUAUACGGCAAGCGGCCAAGCGAAAGCGUUAAGUAUUCCACCUGGGGAGUACGCCGGCAACGGUGAAACU